GAAAACAGGCAUCACCCUUGCACGCAACAUGCAGCUGGGAUAGCCAAACUGAUACAAAAAACUGCACACAUAGUCAUGGGACAUUCACUGUUGGUGUUAACGUCACACAGUGUAGUGGCAUAUUCCUGGAAGCUCCUAACAUUUCAUUCACACACGAAGGCGUGAACAUGGCAGACUGUUUUUCAGAAGGAGAACCACACGUGUGUGCAGAACUUGUGGCAACAGAAGAGAAGGAAAGCAGAGAGACUACAAGGGGCAGCAUCUGCGCAGAGGGCAGAAAUAAAAGCAGUGAUCGAAGCGUUAAAGCUUGCCCAAGGAUCACAGGUAAAUGUGUACACAGAUUGAGCUUAUGUUGCAGGAACAGUGCAUUUGGAACUUUGCCAAUGGAUGAGGUGGUAAGAUGCCAAAAGGGGGCGCCACUUGAAGAGAAAAACCUGUGGAAGCAAUGAGGCACCACUGAAACAAAUGGAUGCUGGAGGGGUCCAGACGGUAGGUUAAUUCUGCCACCUGAAAAAAAACAAGAGCUGCUUCAAGAAGCUCACGGGGUGGGACAUGUUGGGACUAAACAGAUGAUGCAUAAUCUUAAAGACUGGUGGCAACCCCAAAUGAUCCACAUGGUGAAACAGUUUGUAAACAAUUGUGAAAUGUGUGGACAGUUUAACCCUAAGAAAACUUUGAAACCACAGCAGGGACAGUUUCCUCCACUCGCAUGUCCAGGGAAAGAGGUUGUGUUGGAUUUUACUGACAUGAUAAACACGGUGCAAGGCAAAAAAUAUUUGCUGGUUUGUGUUGAUGCUUUCACAGGAUGGCCUGAAGCGUGGCCAGCAGCGAGAGAAGAUAGCAAAACUGUCAUAAAAUGUCUGAUCAACCAUUACAUCCCCAGGCACGGUUUUCCAGAAAAAA